UACGUAGGGUGCAAGCGUUGUCCGGAAUUAUUGGGCGUAAAGAGCUCGUAGGCGGUCUGUCGCGUCGGCUGUGAAAACUCGGGGCUCAACCCCGAGCCUGCAGUCGAUACGGGCAGACUAGAGUGCGGUAGGGGAGACUGGAAUUCCUGGUGUAGCGGUGAAAUGCGCAGAUAUCAGGAGGAACACCGGUGGCGAAGGCGGCUUCCUGGACCGACACUGACGCUGAGGCGCGAAAGCUAGGGGAGCAAACGGG
rnacentral:rRNA from 1 species